rfam:Pongo abelii chromosome 6.
GCUGUGAUGGCCGAGUGGUUAAGGCGUUGGACUCGAAAUCCAAUGGGGAUUCCCCGCGCAGGUUCAAAUCCUGCUCACAGCG